AUUGAACGCUGGCGGCAGGCCUAACACAUGCAAGUCGAACGGUAACAGGAAGCAGCUUGCUGCUUUGCUGACGAGUGGCGGACAGGUGAGUAAUGUCUGGGAAACUGCCUGAUGGAGGGGGAUAACUACUGGAAACGGUAGCUAAUACCGCAUAACGUCGCAAGACCAAAGAGGGGGACCUUCGGGCCUCUUGCCAUCGGAUGUGCCCAGAUGGGAUUAGCUAGUAGGUGGGGUAACGGCUCACCAAGGCGACGAUCCGUAGCUGGUCUGAGAGGAUGACCAGCCACACUGGAACUGAGACACGGUCCAGACUCCUACGGGAGGCAGCAGUGGGGAAUAUUGCACAAAGGGCGCAAGCCUGAUGCAGCCAUGCCGCGUGUAUGAAGAAGGCCUUCGGAUUGUAAAGUACUUUCAGCGGGGAGGAAGGGAGUAAAGUUAAUACCUUUGCUCAUUGACGUUACCCGCAGAAGAAGCACCGGCUAACUCCGUG
rnacentral:rRNA from 1 species